rnacentral:rRNA from 1 species
CCUACGGGGUGCAGCAGUGGGGAAUAUUGGGCAAUGGGCGCAAGCCUGACCCAGCAACGCCGCGUGAAGGAAGAAGGCUUUCGGGUUGUAAACUUCUUUUCUCAGGGACGAAGCAAGUGACGGUACCUGAGGAAUAAGCCACGGCUAACUACGUGCCAGCAGCCGCGGUAAUACGUAGGUGGCAAGCGUUAUCCGGAUUUACUGGGUGUAAAGGGCGUGUAGGCGGGGACGCAAGUCAGAUGUGAAAACCACGGGCUCAACCUGUGGCCUGCAUUUGAAACUGUGUUUCUUGAGUGCUGGAGAGGCAAUCGGAAGUCCGUGUGUAGCGGUGAAAUGCGUAGAUAGACGGAGGAACACCAGUGGCGAAGGCGGAUUGCUGGACAGUAACUGACGCUGAGGCGCGAAAGCGUGGGGAGCAAACAGGAUUAGAUACCCUUGUAGUC